GAUGAACGCUAGCGAUAGGCUUAACACAUGCAAGUCGAGGGGUAACGUGUUGUAAGCUUGCUUCCGAUGACGACGACCGGCGGAUGGGUGCGUAACGCGUAUGCAACUUGCCUCACAGUGGAGAAUAACCCGGAGAAAUCCGGACUAAUACUCCAUACACUCUUAAGUACGCCUGUACAUGAGAGGAAAGAUUUAUCGCUGUGAGAUAGGCAUGCGUCCUAUUAGGUAGUUGGUGAGGUAACGGCUCACCAAGCCGACGAUAGGUAGGGGUGAUGAGAGGCAGAUCCCCCACAUUGGGACGGAGACACGGCACAAACUGCUACGGGAGGCAGCAGUGAGGAAUCUUGGUCAAUGGAGGAAACUCUGAACCAGCCAAGUCGCGUGAAGGAAGAAUGUCCUCAGGAUUGUAAACUUCUUUAGCGAGCGAGUAAGGACUUCCACGUGAUGGGAGUUUGAAAGUAGCUCGAGAAUAAGUAUCGGCUAACUCCGUG
rnacentral:rRNA from 1 species